UGCCCAUUCCAUUAUUUAUGCUGUUUGUAGGUUGCUACCCAUAGUACCCACUAGGGGCGCUGUAGUUUGGUUCACUCUAAGUUAGUACCUUCAUUUAAAGUGAAAAAUAAGAGGAAGUGUUGCUAGUUUCCUGUCAGUCAGAACGUUGGGCGGGAAUAUCCCACGGACAGGAGGAGGAGGAGGAUGUUCUUCAUCUUUAUGACUCUGGGUUAGCGCACUUUCUUCAGAGAAGGCUAGAAGCAGCGCUGCACGGACUUUACCGCCAUAAACUUUGCAGCCCUUGGACAGCGGAGCGAGUUUUCACGGUGUAUUUGGAGCACGGUGUAUUUCAGUGCUAUUCAGCAAACUUGGCUGUGAAAGAAGCAAAUACAAAGCUACUACACCCGUCGAA